ACACACCCCAAGCACUACAGACCCCACAGGCCUCCCCACAGCGAGACAAAGACCCCCAUGGUGCAACACCCCCCUCCCCCCGCAGCGCUGCGGGGUGGCAGAGAACCCCCUGGGAAGGGGAUAACCCCUAAGGGUGCUGGGUAUGGGGCUGUGGGGCAGUGGGGGUGCGGUGAGAGGGAGCCCAGGGCACGGGAUGUGGGAGGUGGCUGCAGGGUGGGGGGGUGGGAUGUGGGGGGAGGGAUGCGGAACACCAGGAUGCAGGAGGAACAAUGGCGGCGGAGGGAUUUCAAAGGAUGCGGGGUGACGGUUGAGGGGUGUAGGAUGAGGGAUAGGAUGAAGGAUGAGGGAUGGAAUAUCAGGGAUGUAGGAUGUGGGCUGCAGGAUGCAGGCCCAGCGCAGCCUCCUGUUGCUAUGGCAACGGGAGAUGGGAUGGUGCGGGUGGGUCCGCGGCCCUUCCCAGCACCCGGCAGGUGGGGAUGGACGGCAGUGGGGGACGCUGUGGGGUCGGUGCUGGGGGCUCCCGCAGGCGGUGCUGUGUCACACUGCAGCCAUGAGAUGCGCGGCUGUUGGACAGCCGGCAGUGGGCACCGCCCCACCACACAGCGGGGGAAACUGAGGCGCAGAGCCGUCCCCCUGUGCCCCAUCCCCACAGCGCUGCAGGGACAGCUCUGGCUCUGGGGGGGUGGGAUGCUGCUGGAGCAGACAGUGGUUGGGAGAGCCCGGGGGGCACUGCAGCCCCCCCAUGGGGCGAGGUCACUAUGUGGGAUCCCCCCAGCUCGGGGAGGGGCUGUUGGUGCAGCCUCGGGGCUGGGGCACCCCGCACUGCCCGCUCCCCCCCCAGCUUCUGCCCCAUUCCUGUUGUGGGGGGGUGUCUGGGGAUGCUGUGGGGGGGGUCUGAGCUCUGAACCGAACGCAGCAGCUCCGGCAGAGCUGCAGCUCUGCAGCCAGUGGGGAGGGGCUGCACGCAGCACCUGCAGUUGCGAAGCAGCAGAAUACGGUGGGGAGGGGGCCGGGCUGCAGUGCGGGGCCUGGAGGUGCAGCUCUGCUCCCCGUGCCCCCCUCCUGGCCCCCAGACAGCCGCGUCCCAUUGGACCCAGUGCUGCACUGUGGCCCCAGCAUCACCCACAGGCUCCGCGCUCUGGGGCUGUGUCCCCAGCGGGGCACCCCGGGGUGAUGCAGUGGCUCAGGGCCUCCGGGAACCUGGUUCUCCCCAAACGUGGCAGUGACCCCCCUGUGCCCAGUGCCGGCCAAGAAGGCAGAAUUCGGCCAGCAAAGGCCACUGCAGGAUCUUGGUGGGUGGGGGAGCAGCAGCAGAAUGACCAUUGCACUGCACUGCACUGCACUGCACUGCCUGCCCUCUGCACCACACUGCCCAACCCACUGUACUGCACUGCUGCUUGCACUGCCCAGCCUGCUCCGCUGCACUGCUGACUGCAACACUCGCUGCAUUGCUCGCUGCACGGCUCAUUGCACUGCUCACUGCACCACACAGCCUGGGCAGAACCAAGCGGGGCCGUGGGG
rnacentral:lncRNA from 1 species